GUUUCCAUUUUAGAUUUAUUUCAUAUCUAAAGUGGGUUAUCAAACGGGGGGUAAAGAAAGAUUCCUUAUAAAACCUAGAGUCGAAGGGUUCUAACUGCCCGACUCUGGAUCCUGUCUAAGGAAACAGCG